rnacentral:rRNA from 1 species
AGUGAACGCUGGCGGUAGGCCUAACACAUGCAAGUCGAACGGCAGCACAGUAAGAGCUUGCUCUUACGGGUGGCGAGUGGCGGACGGGUGAGGAAUACAUCGGAAUCUACUUUUUCGUGGGGGAUAACGUAGGGAAACUUACGCUAAUACCGCAUACGACCUACGGGUGAAAGCAGGGGAUCUUCGGACCUUGCGCGAUUGAAUGAGCCGAUGUCGGAUUAGCUAGUUGGCGGGGUAAAGGCCCACCAAGGCGACGAUCCGUAGCUGGUCUGAGAGGAUGAUCAGCCACACUGGAACUGAGACACGGUCCAGACUCCUACGGGAGGCAGCAGUGGGGAAUAUUGGACAAUGGGCGCAAGCCUGAUCCAGCCAUACCGCGUGGGUGAAGAAGGCCUUCGGGUUGUAAAGCCCUUUUGUUGGGAAAGAAAAGCAGCAGGUUAAUACCCCGCGGUUCUGACGGUACCCAAAGAAUAAGGACCGGCUAACUUCGUG